rnacentral:rRNA from 1 species
AACGAACGCUGGCGGCAGGCCUAACACAUGCAAGUCGAACGAAGUCUUCGGACUUAGUGGCGGACGGGUGAGUAACACGUGGGAACGUGCCCUUUGGUACGGAAUAACUCAGGGAAACUUGAGCUAAUACCGUAUGUGCCCUUCGGGGGAAAGAUUUAUCGCCAUUGGAGCGGCCCGCGUCUGAUUAGCUAGUUGGUGGUGUAAUGGACCACCAAGGCGACGAUCAGUAGCUGGUCGGAGAGGAUGAUCAGCCACAUUGGGACUGAGACACGGCCCAAACUCCUACGGGAGGCAGCAGUGGGGAAUCUUGCGCAAUGGGCGAAAGCCUGACGCAGCCAUGCCGCGUGAAUGAUGAAGGUCUUAGGAUUGUAAAAUUCUUUCACCGGGGACGAUAAUGACGGUACCCGGAGAAGAAGCCCCGGCUAACUUCGUGCCAGCCGCCGCCGCAGUAA